rnacentral:tRNA from 1 species
GGGGUUGUGGCUCAGUGGUAGAGCACUUGCCUAGUAUGUAUGAGGCACUGGCUUCAAUUCUCAGCACCA